rnacentral:rRNA from 1 species
GACGAACGCUGGCGGCGUGCUUAACACAUGCAAGUCGAGCGGUAAGGCCCUUUCGGGGUACGACGAGCGGCGAACGGGUGAGUAACACGUGGGUGACCUGCCCUCAGCUCUGGGAUAAGCCUGGGAAACUGGGUCUAAUACUGGAUAUGACUCCACGGUGCAUGUCGUGGGGUGGAAAGCCUUGUGCGGCUGAGGAUGGGCCCGCGGCCUAUCAGCUUGUUGGUGGGGUGANGGCCUACCAAGGCGACGACGGGUAGCCGGCCUGAGAGGGCGACCGGCCACACUGGGACUGAGACACGGCCCAGACUCCUACGGGAGGCAGCAGUGGGGAAUCUUGCGCAAUGGGCGAAAGCCUGACGCAGCGACGCCGCGUGAGGGAUGACGGCCU